rnacentral:sRNA from 1 species
AUUAUAAGCUAUAGAAAUAAUGAAAAAUGGCUGCUGGUACUCAAAUGGUACUGGAAGUAAAAAAAGAAUAAACUAAAUAAUUCUUCCAAGUGGUUUGCAUUUGGACAAAAAAUAAGACCGUAACUUGAUUGUUA